rnacentral:rRNA from 1 species
UCCACGCCCUAAACGACGCACACUAGUUGUUGCUAUGCUAGACAUAGCAGUAAUGCAGUUAACACAGUAAGUGUGCCGCCUGGGGAGUACGGUCGCAAGAUUAAAACUCAAAGGAAUAGACGGGGACCCGCACAAGCGGUGGAGCAUGUGGUUUAAUUCGACGAUACGCGAAGAACCUUACCUGGCCUUGACAUAGAAAGAAUUCGUUAGAGAUAACUUAGUGCUAGUUUAC